ACACUGGUACUGAGACACGGACCAGACUCCUACGGGAGGCAGCAGUGAGGAAUAUUGGCCAAUGGGCGCAAGCCUGAUCCAACCAAGCCGCGUGCAGGAAGACGGCCCUAUGGGUUGUAAACUGCGUUUGUACGGGAAGAAACACCCCUUCGUGAAGGGACUUGACGGUACCGUAUGAAUAAGGAUCGGCCAACUCCGUGCCAGCAGCCGCGGUAAUACGGA
rnacentral:rRNA from 1 species